rnacentral:ncRNA from 1 species
AUAUUAGCAGACAAAGGAAUAGUAGAAAUUUGGAUUGUAGUAGAGAGUGCAUGGUUGGUGAAAAUGCAUCAUGAAAAGUUUUGAACUCGCCUUUUAGCUGAAUUUCUGAAUUUUAGUAAGAAAUUCCGUUUCACUCGCGUUAAGAGUAAGUUGAGUAUAAUAAUUAGGUGGUACCACGUGUAAACGUCCUAUUG